rnacentral:lncRNA from 1 species
GCCUCUGGAAGGCUGGGCUUCAGGUAGUGAAGGCGGUGUGUCACUGCGGUGUAUCUGGGGAGGCGUGCCGAGCCUCUCCGUGUGCGCGUCCCCUCCAGAAAUCUCCACAUCCCCCUGCUUCUCUCUCCACCAGAGCCGCCUCUCCCUCUGCCGACUGCCUGCUGCCUGCCUGCCUGCCUCCUGCCUGUGCCAAGAAGCCUACCCGAAUCGAGGAAGAGAGAACGGUGCCGGGAGCGCCUUAACUUCACGCCGGGCGCAAGGGCGGAAGGGGGCCGAUUGGUUGACAGCCGGCUGCCUUGCCUUAAGGAGCAGGGCGUCUGAUGUCAAGCCGCCUCUCCCUCUGCCGACUGCCUGCCUGCCUGCCUGCCUGCCUGCCUGUGCCAAGAAGCCUACCCGAAUCGAGGGAAGAGAGAACGAUGCCCGGGAGCGCCUUAACUUCACGCCGGGCGCAAGGGCGGAAGGGGCCGAUUGGUUGACAGCCGGCUGCCUUGCCUUAAGAAGCAGGGCGUCUGAUGUCAGUGAGUGGGGCGGUUUCGUUGGGGCGAGAGGCCUGGCCGACCUU